GGGGUCACGUGCACGCUCUGUUUACACAUCCACUCACACCUGUGCACCCUCUGUAGUUCUAUGGUCUGGGGGGCCCUGCCUCCCUUCCGUGGUUCUGCAUCUUUACACACACACUGUAAUAAAGUCUUAUGGAAUGCGCACCGCGUUUAACGCAAUACAAUACAACUUUCAGCAACGGAUCUCUUGGCUCUCGCAUCGAUGAAGAACGCAGCGAAAUGCGAUAAGUAAUGUGAAUUGCAGAAUUCAGUGAAUCAUCGAAUCUUUGAACGCACCUUGCGCCCUUUGGCCAUUCCGAAGGGCAUGCCUGUUUGAGUAUCAUGAACACCUCAACUCUCAUGGUUCGCCAUGAUGAGCUUGGACUUUGGGGGCUUUGCUGGCCUAUGGUCGGCUCCUCUCAAAUGAAUCAGCUUGCCAGUGUUUGGUGGCGUCACAGGUGUGAUAACUAUCUACGCUUGCGAUUGUCCACCAGGU
rnacentral:rRNA from 1 species